UUGAUUUAUUCCAAUAAUGGUGUCAUUCCAGUGCGUGACACUGGAAUCCAGAUAUAAAAGUAUUUGCAAAUUAUUCAAUGGACAACGGAUUCUAGAAGCAUAAAAUAAUGUCCAUGACGAAAUAAACUGGAUCCCAGUGUCACGCACUGGGAUGACAUGAGGGGAGCACUGGGAUGA
rfam:Glossina morsitans morsitans, isolate Yale, WGS project CCAG01000000 data, contig: ctg10018313